GAUGAACGCUGGCGGCGUGCCUAAUACAUGCAAGUCGAACGAGGCCCUUUGUAUUCGUACGAAGGUGUCCUAGUGGCGAACGGGUGAGUAACACGUAGGUGACCUGCCCCGAAGCGGGGGACAACUCCGGGAAACUGGAGCUAAUACCCCAUGUUCUCCAUGGUGUUAGAGGACCAUGGAGCAAAGGAGCAAUCCACUUUGGGAGGGGCCUGCGGCCCAUCAGCUAGUUGGUAGGGUAAUGGCCUACCAAGGCUAUGACGGGUUGGGGACCUGAGAGGGUGGUCCCCCACACUGGAACUGAAACACGGACCAGACACCUACGGGUGGCAGCAGUAGGGAAUAUUGCACAAUGGGCGAAAGCCUGAUGCAGCAACGCCGCGUGCGCGAUGAAGGCCUUCGGGUUGUAAAGCGCUUUUCUGGGGGAAGA
rnacentral:rRNA from 1 species